rnacentral:rRNA from 1 species
CAGGUCGACGAUUCCUACGGGAGGCAGCAGUGGGGAAUUUUGGACAAUGGGCGCAAGCCUGAUCCAGCCAUGCCGCGUGAGUGAAGAAGGCCUUCGGGUUGUAAAGCUCUUUCGGCCGGGAAGAAAUCGCAUAGGUUAAUACCCUGUGUGGAUGACGGUACCGGAAUAAGAAGCACCGGCUAACUACGUGCCAGCAGCCGCGGUAAUACGUAGGGUGCGAGCGUUAAUCGGAAUUACUGGGCGUAAAGCGUGCGCAGGCGGUUUUUUAAGACAGGCGUGAAAUCCCCGGGCUCAACCUGGGAACCGCGCUUGUGACUGGAAGACUAGAGUAUGGCAGAGGGGGGUGGAAUUCCACGUGUAGCAGUGAAAUGCGUAGAGAUGUGGAGGAACACCGAUGGCGAAGGCAGCCCCCUGGGCCAAUACUGACGCUCAUGCACGAAAGCGUGGGGAGCAAACAGGAUUAGAUACCCUGGUAGUCCACGCCCUAAACGAUGUCAACUAGGUGUUGGGUGGGUAAAACCAUUUAGUACCGUAGCUAACGCGUGAAGUUGACCGCCUGGGGAGUACGGCCGCAAGGUUAAAACU